AACGAACGCUGGCGGCAUGCCUAACACAUGCAAGUCGAACGAGACCUUCGGGUCUAGUGGCGCACGGGUGCGUAACGCGUGGGAACCUGCCCUUAGGUUCGGAAUAACUCCCCGAAAGGGGUGCUAAUACCGGAUAAUGUCUUCGGACCAAAGAUUUAUCGCCGUUGGAUGGGCCCGCGUUGGAUUAGCUAGUUGGUAGGGUAAAAGCCUACCAAGGCGACGAUCCAUAGCUGGUCUGAGAGGAUGAUCAGCCACACUGGGACUGAGACACGGCCCAGACUCCUACGGGAGGGAGGAGUGGGGAAUAUUGGACGAUGGGCGAAAGCCUGAUCCAGCAAUGCCGCGUGAGUGAUGAAGGCCUUAGGGUUGUAAAGCUCUUUUACCCGGGAUGAUAAUGACAGUACCGGGAGAAUAAGCUCCGACUAACUCCGUG
rnacentral:rRNA from 1 species